rnacentral:rRNA from 1 species
CCUACGGGUGGCAGCAGUGAGGAAUCUUGGUCAAUGGGCGCGAGCCUGAACCAGCCAAGUAGCGUGAAGGAUGACUGCCCUACGGGUUGUAAACUUCUUUUAUAAAGGAAUAAAGUGAGCCACAUGUGCCUUUUUGUAUGUACUUUAUGAAUAAGCAUCGGCUAACUCCGUGCCAGCAGCCGCGGUAAUACGGAGGAUCCGAGCUUUAUCCGGAUUUAUUGGGUUUAAAGGGAGCGUAGAUGGGUUGUUAAGUCAGUUGUGAAAGUUUGCGGCUCAACCGUAAAAUUGCAAUUGAUACUGGCAGCUUUGAGUAGAGUUGAGGUAGGAGGAAUUCGUGGUGUAGCGGUGAAAUGCUGAGAUAUCACGAAGAACUCCGAUUGCGAAGGCAGCCUACUAAACUGCCACUGACAUUGAUGCUCGAAAGUGUGGGUAUCAAACAGGAUGAGAUACCCCGGUAGUC